UGUGACGUGAUCGCAUGGUCUGCGUCUGGAAAGAAUUUCGGUUGGGGAUGGGCUCGCGGCCUAUCAGCUUGUUGGUGAGGUAAUGGCUCACCAAGGCGUCGACGGGUAGCCGGCCUGAGAGGGUGACCGGCCACACUGGGACUGAGACACGGCCCAGACUCCUACGGGAGGCAGCAGUGGGGAAUAUUGCACAAUGGGCGCAAGCCUGAUGCAGCAACGCCGCGUGAGGGAUGACGGCCUUCGGGUUGUAAACCUCUUUUAGCAGGGAAGAAGCGAAAGUGACGGUACCUGCAGAAAAAGCGCCGGCUAACUACGUGCCAGCAGCCGCGGUAAUACGUAGGGCGCAAGCAUUAUCCGGAAUUAUUGGGCGUAAAGAGCUCGUAGGCGGUUUGUCGCGUCUGCUGUGAAAUCCGGAGGCUCAACCUCCGGCCUGCAGUGGGUACGGGCAGACUAGAGUGCGGUAGGGGAGAUUGGAAUUCCUGGUGUAGCGGUGGAAUGCGCAGAUAUCAAGGAGGAACACCGAUGGCGAAGGCAGAUCUCUGGGCCGUAACUGACGCUGAGGAGCGAAAGGGUGGGGGGCAAACAGGCUUAGAUACCCUGGUAGUCCACCCCGUAAACGUUGGGAACUAGUUGUGGGGUCCAUUCCACGGAUUCCGUGACGCAGCUAACGCAUUAAGUUCCCCGCCUGGGGAGUACGGCCGCAAGGCUAAAACUCAAAGGAAUUGACGGGGACCCGCACAAGCGGCGGAGCAUGCGGAUUAAUUCGAUGCAACGCGAAGAACCUUACCAAGGCUUGACAUAUACGAGAACGGGCCAGAAAUGGUCAACUCUUUGGACACUCGUAAACAGGUGGUGCAUGGUUGUCGUCAGCUCGUGUCGUGAGAUGUUGGGUUAAGUCCCGCAACGAGCGCAACCCUCGUUCUAUGUUGCCAGCACGUAAUGGUGGGAACUCAUGGGAUACUGCCGGGGUCAACUCGGAGGAAGGUGGGGAUGACGUCAAAUCAUCAUGCCCCUUAUGUCUUGGGCUUCACGCAUGCUACAAUGGCCGGUACAAAGGGCUGCAAUACCGCGAGGUGGAGCGAAUCCCAAAAAGCCGGUCCCAGUUCGGAUUGAGGUCUGCAACUCGACCUCAUGAAGUCGGAGUCGCUAGUGAGUUC
rnacentral:rRNA from 1 species